UUUCGGGAUUACGGUUAGCCAUGAUGAAAACAAGGCAUCUGCAACUCCAAGGGCUCUUACUAUGGAGAAACGAUGGUCAUCUACACCUGUAGCGUCUGAGCCAGCAUUGAAGGGCAUGAGGAGGUCAGCUUCAGCACCCUACAAGCUUGCGAGGAUUACCGAAUUUUUGACCCUGCAAAAGGAGUUGGGGAUAAAAAUUUUGGUCUACAGCUCCACCAGCAUUGUCCACUUCUGUCUUAGACCAAGCCACUACAUCUCAGUGGUCUCUUAAAAGGCAUGGACCAAGAUUCUUCCACACUAGGUCCAAAACACAUCAUCAUUAUUUUGGACUUUUAAAAAGAUCAUUCAAUUUAUCAGAUGACGGAAAGAAGAAAGAAGAAAACAUGCUUUUGCUGGUAAAAUACCACAAAUUAGUGUUGAGACGUGCCAAUUCCAAGAAUGUUAUUCUCUAGUUGCAACAGACUGUUAAAAUAG